GGCCCAAAUUCUACGGGAGGCUGCAGUAGGGAAUCUUCCCCAAUGGGCGAAAGCCUGAUGGAGCAACGCCGCGUGUGUGAUGAAGGCUUUCGGGUCGUAAAGCACUGUUGUAUGGGAAGAAAAGUUAAGGUAGGGAAUGACCUUAGCCUGACGGUACCAUACCAGAAAGGGACGGCUAAAUACGUGCCAGCAGCCGCGGUAAUACGUAUGUCCCGAGCGUUAUCCGGAUUUAUUGGGCGUAAAGCGAGCGCAGACGGUUGGUUAAGUCUGAUGUGAAAGCCCGGAGCUCAACUCCGGAAAGGCAUUGGAAACUGGUUAACUUGAGUGCAGUAGAGGUAAGUGGAACUCCAUGUGUAGCGGUGGAAUGCGUAGAUAUAUGGAAGAACACCAGCGGCGAAGGCGGCUUACUGGACUGUAACUGACGUUGAGGCUCGAAAGUGUGGGUAGCAAACAGGAUUAGAUACCCUGGUAGUCCACACCGUAAACGAUGAACACUAGGUGUUAGGAGGUUUCCGCCUCUUAGUGCCGAAGCUAACGCAUUAAGUGUUCCGCCUGGGGAGUACGACCGCAAGGUUGAAACUCAAAGGAAUUGACGGGGACCCGCACAAGCGGUGGAGCAUGUGGUUUAAUUCGAAGCAACGCGAAGAACCUUACCAGGUCUUGACAUCCUUUGAAGCUUUUAGAAAUAGAAGUGUUCUCUUCGGAGACAAAGUGACAGGUGGUGCAUGGUCGUCGUCAGCUCGUGUCGUGAGAUGUUGGGUUAAGUCCCGCAACGAGCGCAACCCUUAUUGUUAGUUGCCAGCAUUCAGAUGGGCACUCUAGCGAGACUGCCGGUGACAAACCGGAGGAAGGCGGGGACGACGUCAGAUCAUCAUGCCCCUUAUGACCUGGGCUACACACGUGCUACAAUGGCGUAUACAACGAGUUGCCAACCUGCGAAGGUGAGCUAAUCUCUUAAAGUACGUCUCAGUUCGGACUGCAGUCUGCAACUCGACUGCACGAAGUCGGAAUCGCUAGUAAUCGCGGAUCAGCACGCCGCGGUGAAUACGUUCCCGGGUCUUGUACACACCGCCCGUCACACCAUGGAAGUUUGUAAUGCCCAAAGCCGGUGGCCUAACCGUAAGGAGGGAACC
rnacentral:rRNA from 1 species